rnacentral:rRNA from 1 species
UACGAAGGGGGCUAGCGUUGUUCGGAUUCAUUGGGCGUAAAGGGUGCGUAGGCGGCGCGGUAAGUCGGGUGUGAAAUCUCGGAGCUUAACUCCGAAACUGCAUUCGAUACUGCCGUGCUUGAGGACUGGAGAGGAGACUGGAAUUUACGGUGUAGCGGUGAAAUGCGUAGAUAUCGUAAGGAAGACCAGUGGACGAAGGCGGGUCUCUGGACAGUUCCUGACGCUGAGGCACGAAGGUCAGGGGAGCAAACGGGAUUAGAACCGUACCCGUGU